GGGAUCUGAAUCUGCCAAAAAUUCAGUUCGCAAUCAACACUUCAAUAAACGAAACAACAGGUUAUACUCCAGCUUUUCUCGUUCACGGGAGGGAAUUAGUAACUUGCGGGUCUCAUUACAUUGAGAAUGACAUCCCAAAUGAGUUAAUUUUCGCUCCUCGAGAAAUUUAUGCUGAAAACUUAGGAUAUCUCUCUAAUAUUUUUAACAAGGUACAAAAAGCACUAUGGAACGCUCACGAAAAGAAUUCUCAGCGUUAUAACUUAAGGCGUAAGGAAGCAGAAUAUCAUGUCGGUGACAUAGUUUGGAAGCGUACUUACUUCCAAAGUGACAAAGAUGCUUAUUAUGCUAAAAAGCUCACUCCUAAAUAUGUUAAAUGUAAAAUUAUUCAAAAACGUUCACCACUCGUUUACGUUUUGGAGGAUAUGGUUGGUCGUAACUUAGGAGCUUGGCAUAUCAAAGACUUAAAAUCAAACAUUUAUAAAUCACAUUAAAAGCGAAUCAUAAACGGAUUAGUUUUCUUAUUAUUGCGGAUUUUGCAUAAGGCAAAAUCCUUUCUUUCGAAAGGGGGUACUGUAACGUAUACAAUCCACAUAAACUUAACUUAUUUAUUAUUUACAUAUUAUACUACACAAUUAUUAUAAUGAAUCUUAACCUACUAUUAUUAAAUACAAAUGCUUUAUAAAUAAAAACUUAAAACUAUAAAUAUAAAUAAAAAUGAAUAAAAACUUAACACUAACUAAAUAAACAAACUGACAACGCAGUUCGGUUUCUAUGUAGUGAUUAAUAUUUUCUGCGCGCGGGUAACCGGUCCAAGCGCGAGCGCCGGGCGGCCAUGUCUAGGCGCGAGCCGAAGAUUCAAUAGAACGCGAACGGCGACCAUUAGCUCUCAACCUUUUGAUACGGCCUAAUGUGCGUACGCUCUGCGCGCCGCACAAUAUUUUCGUGUCAGUUUACUUACUUGAUUGAUACUGAUAGAAAUCAUUAUUUUGUAUUUGUAAAAUACUUGCACUUCAAAAUAAAUAAUAAGUGAAGUGAAACAAAUAUUUUCCCGUAUUGGGAUCACCCUGCGGGUUCUUGGAUGGCGAAGACCUGGAGGCGCACUCGGAAGCACAACCUUAACUGGGACUGGAAGCCCGAGGGGAGUAAGGAGUGUGUAAAGUGUCACGGCUGCGGAUCUAAGACCAGACCCUACCCUGAGAUAGCUUAAAUAAAUUCUUAGUUUGUUUUCCUCAUA